AGUGAACGCUGGCGGUAGGCCUUACACAUGCAAGUCGAACGGCAGCACAGUAAGAGCUUGCUCUUACGGGCGGCGAGUGGCGGACGGGUGCGGAAUAUAUCGGAAGCUACGUUUUAGCGGGGGGUAAGGUGGGGAAACUUACGCUAAGACCGCAUACGACCUGCGGGUGAAAGCAGGGGAACGUUGGACCUUGCGCGUUUGAAUGAGCCGAUGUCGGAUUAGCUAGUUGGCGGGGUAAAGGCCCACCAAGGCGACGAUCCGUAGCUGGUCUGAGAGGACGAUCAGCCACACUGGAACUGAGACACGGUCCAGACUCCUACGGGAGGCAGCAGUGGGGAAUAUUGGACAAUGGGCGCAAGCCUGAUCCAGCCAUACCGCGUGGGUGAAGAAGGCCUUCGGGUUGUAAAGCCCUUUUGUUGGGAAAGAAAAGCAGCAGGUUAAUACCCCGCUGUACUGACGGUACCCGAAGAAUAAGCACCGGCUAACUUCGUG
rnacentral:rRNA from 1 species